rnacentral:tRNA from 1 species
GGGAAGUUGGCUCAGUGGUAGAGCGCUUGCCUUGUAUGCAAGAGGCCCUGGGUUCGAUUCCUCAGUACCA